rnacentral:rRNA from 1 species
UGGCGGACGGGUGAGUAAUGCAUGAGCAACCUGCCCUGCAGUGGGGGACAACAGUUGGAAACGACUGCUAAUACCGCAUGAUGUAUCUGGAAGGCAUCUUCUGGAUACCAAAGAUUUAUCGCUGUGGGAUGGGCUCAUGUCUGAUUAGUUAGUUGGUGGGGUAACGGCCUACCAAGACUGCGAUCAGUAGCCGGACUGAGAGGUUGAACGGCCACAUUGGGACUGAGAUACGGCCCAGACUCCUACGGGAGGCAGCAGUGGGGAAUAUUGGGCAAUGGGCGAAAGCCUGACCCAGCAACGCCGCGUGAAGGAAGAAGGUCUUCGGAUUGUAAACUUCUUUUAUGAGGGACGAAGGAAGUGACGGUACCUCAUGAAUAAGCCACGGCUAACUACGUGCCAGCAGCCGCGGUAAUACGUAGGUGGCAAGCGUUGUCCGGAUUUACUGGGUGUAA